UUUUUUUUUUUAGAUCAUCUUUGCAUGUGGGGCAGCUGUGGGUCAGGAAGUCGGUCAUCCCCCAAUCGGAAGAGCCUUGGAGUCUGCGUUUGGCUCCACCCUGCCUGUGUGCUGCUGUCUUCAGCCAUCACAGUAUGAUGUGACCACGCAUGGACCUAGCAUACUCUUUUGAAGAUGAGCUCUAUAGUGGAGAAGAGUACAGGAUACAGAGGUCAACAUGGUUGAUGAGCUCUUUACCUGGCUGGCUUAAAGACUUUUUAAGUAUUCCUGUUUUCCAGCCUUCUAGCCCUCAGCUCGCUAUACUCCAGUCUUCACUCUAGAAUGCCAGCAACCAGCCUCCACACUCUGCAGCCCCCUAGCUGUCCCCCUGAGUUUCCCUGCUCUGCCUCUGCCGUGCCCACAGACUGUUCACUUCGGGUCUCUUGCUCUGCUCCUGUCCAGUCCUCCAUUCUUCAGUUCCCUGGAUACGUGUCCCAAAAAUUAGUUUGGAGUGAAAUUGUACAAUUACUUCAGAUUUUACAUGGUCAAGAACAGGGUUAACAGGAAAAUUUCAGCAAACGUCUGAGGGAAAGAUUUUAUUAGAGUUUAAACAUGAGGACAGUGUUCACAAGGUAGAAGCAUUAAUAGAGUUACUGCAGUUUAUCAGGAGUUUCAAGGCUGUGCAGAUUGAACAGUCGAUUACAGUUAAUUCCAGGUUAAGGCCAUACCAGCCGACUGAUACCUGCCAACACAGAGGUUGAUCAAACCUGGAUCAACCAUUUCCACAUGUCUGUUAGAUAAUGCCGGGCCAGCCAGUAUUUGAUAUCAGUAUCUGUUUUUUAUAACCUAAUGUAAAAGCUUGUGAGCAUGUUUGCAUUCUGAAGUUAACAUUUUGUACAGCCUCACAGAGCCAAUAACCUGUAGACUAUUUGCUUGUGUAUUAACAUUUGAUCAGACUAAUACUUGUAAGAGCAGUGGAUACCAAACCAGACUAAAAAGGAAAGUAAAUUAAUAUUGGAUUAAUGUUCAGCAGGAAGACUCAAACACAACUCUAAAUGAAUGCCAAUGUUGGUCUGUGUCUGCUGGAUGUGUAAACAGGAUCACCAAAUCAGCUUUAUAAUAAUGUUAACGUUGUCUUUACAGCUUAUUGUAAUGCCCCAAGAAACCAAAAUAAAAAUCAGCUUCUGGUUUCAACCAUAACAAGGACUUUGGGUUGACUUAACAC